UACAGAGGGGGCCAGCGUUAUUCGGAAUUAUUGGGCCUAAAGCAUCCGUAGCCGGUUCUACAAGUCUUCCGUUAAAUCCACCUGCUCAACAGAUGGGCUGCGGAGGAUACUAUAGAGCUAGGAGGCGGGAGAGGCAAGCGGUACUUAGUGGGUAGGGGUAAAAUCCGUUGAUCCAUCGAAGACCACCAGUGGCGAAGGCGGCUUGCCAGAACGCACUCGACGGUGAGGGAUGAAAGCUGGGGGAGCAAACCGG
rnacentral:rRNA from 1 species